rnacentral:ncRNA from 1 species
CAUUAAAACUAGGGGCGCCAAUUGGCUGAGAAGUACCCUUUGAACCUGAGAUGGAUAAUACCAGCGGAGGAAAGUGAUUUGUGAUGCAA